rnacentral:rRNA from 1 species
GACGAACGCUGGCGGCGUGCCUAAUACAUGCAAGUCGAACGCAUUUUCUUUCACCGUAGCUUGCUACACCGAAAGAAAAUGAGUGGCGAACGGGUGAGUAACACGUGGGUAACCUGCCCAUCAGCGGGGGAUAACACUUGGAAACAGGUGCUAAUACCGCAUAAUUCCAUUUACCGCAUGGUAGAUGGAUGAAAGGCGCUUUUGCGUCACUGAUGGAUGGACCCGCGGUGCAUUAGCUAGUUGGUGGGGUAACGGCCUACCAAGGCUGCGAUGCAUAGCCGACCUGAGAGGGUGAUCGGCCAUACUGGGACUGAGACACGGCCCAGACUCCUACGGGAGGCAGCAGUAGGGAAUCUUCGGCAAUGGACACAAGUCUGACCGAGCAACGCCGCGUGAGUGAAGAAGGGUUUCGGAUCGUAAAACUCUGUUGUUAGAGAAGAACAAGGAUGAGAGUGGAAAGUUCAUCCCUUGACGGUAUCUAACCAGAAAGCCACGGCUAACUACGUG